UAGUCAAAGUGAGACUAAAGUACACUGGAUGGUGGCACACAAAUCUUUAAGACUCUUGAGGGGACAGAGUUGACCAGAGAGAUGACUGUGAUGAUUAGCAGGAAGGUGAUUCCAGGAGAUUACAGUGCAAUCCUUCACAAGAACGCAACAGAGCUCAACUGAUCAAAUUGAAAAAAAUCAAAUCUCCGGCUAUGCUAGAAGACCAAUCACCAAAUCCAGGUUAUUUUGCAGAGAGAAAGCUAUUACAAGGAGAUCAGGAAGAAGAUUCCUGUUACACCAGUUUCAGCAGAACUCCCCAUCAACAAUAUCGGAUCAUCCUCAUCGUCUGAUCAGUUUCAUCAUCCUCCACCAUCUUCCAAAUGAUGUCUCAUCUGGCCUGCCUUCAGCUAGAAUCCCCAUUGACCCUGAUGUUCCUUUUAGUAAUUCUCCAACUACUGCCCUUGCCUUGCUCUUUGUCUAGAAAGGGUCACACGCAUAGGCUUGGGUUCCACCUCUCUCUCCCACUGCAACACCUCAUAGGACUCCACACCUAUAGUGAUGGCCUCCUCCUGA